rnacentral:rRNA from 1 species
UACCAGCCGCCGCGGUAAUACGGAAGGUCCAAGCGUUAAUCGGAACUACUGGGCUUAAAGAGUUCGUAGGUGGUUGAAAAAGUUGGUGGUGAAAUCCCAGAGCUUAACUCUGGAACUGCCAUCAAAGCUUUUCAGCUAGAGUAUGAUAGAGGAAAGCAGAAUUUCUAGUGUAGAGGUGAAAUUCGUAGAUAUUAGAAAGAAUACCAAUUGCGAAGGCAGCUUUCUGGAUCAUUACUGACGCUGAGGAACGAAAGCAUGGGUAGCGAAGAGGAUUAGAUA